UGGCGAACGGGUGAGUAACACGUGAGUAACCUGCCCUUGACUUUGGGAUGACUUCAGGAAACUGGGGCUAAUACCGGAUAGGAGCUCCUGCUGCAUGGUGGGGGUUGGAAAGUUUCGGCGGUUGGGGAUGGACUCGCGGCUUAUCAGCUUGUUGGUGGGGUAGUGGCUUACCAAGGCUUUGACGGGUAGCCGGCCUGAGAGGGUGACCGGCCACAUUGGGACUGAGAUACGGCCCAG
rnacentral:rRNA from 2 species